CCUCCCGUGCCCCUGCUGAGUCUGAAGGCAGCACAGCUCACAGAGGCUCAUUGGUGGGGCUUUUAUCACCUUUCAACACUUAAAGGCUUCUGUGUCUCUGCAUUCAGAGAGUAACAGUGGUGCUUUUCCAGCAGUGCAGAGGGCUGCAAGAGAAGGAAGGUUCAUGCUGCUUUUCUCAAUCCUUCAUCUCCAGUCUACUUGGUCCAUAUAGUCCUACAUCUUAUUUUAUAUCUAUGUACACAUAUACGAAUGGGAAUUAUUCCUCUGUUAAAUCUAAGUCAAUAAUCCCUUUCCUCCUGCAAGCAUUUAGCCUCCUAGCAGAUCCUGUAAUAAAUUAAUCUUCUUUAUCACUCCUUUAAUCGGUUCCUCAUAACCAGUGAGCAGUGAAAUCUUCUCACCUAUUGACUGAUGUAUAGUGUUAGAUUAAUGUAUAAUGUAAAUGAAUAGAAAUCAAAUUACAAGAGCUGCUGUGUGCUUUGGUGGUGCUGCUGCUGAAUUUGUGCUAUCAGGAGCUCAUUCAGGGUCACUGUCUUAGGCUGUACUUUGCAUGUAGGAGCAGCAUGCAAAGGUUUGGGGAGCCAGGGCUUCUGUGGAGUUAAAGCUUGAAUAGAGGAGAAAAGGGGGUGUCUGUUAUUUUACACCCCACACUAUCUGUUCUAAAGAGAGAAGAGCAAUAUGCUGUGAUGUGACAGACUGCUAGAAUCAACAGCUGAAUUUUUAAAUAAUACAGAAGAUGAAGAGCCUCAGUGUUUGACUCUUGGGGAGCUGUGGGUGGCAGUAGCUGCUGUUGGGAGGAGGAUUUGGGUUCAUCCCACUGAGGUUUGACAUUUAUUCCAUGGGAUGGGACAGCAUUCCUUGUGGGCUCACUCUGCAGGAAGCAGAGACCGAGGUGCACAUCUGGGUUGCUAUUCCUCAGCUCACCUCAGCUGUUUCUCCCUCUGCAGUUUGAAGGGUGCUGUGUGUGGGCUGUGGGCAUUUAACACUUUAAAUUAAUGCUUAAUAUUUAGGUGGGAUGCAAACGUGCUUAGGUGUACAAUCAGUUCUUCAGUGCCCUGCUGUGAUCUGCUGAUGUGAAAGGCUUAGUUAUAGACUGUGCUUAUUGUGGUUACAAAUAAUGCUUUGAGGCUUCCCAAAAUUCUAUUGUUUUAAUACAGCAGUUGGCAAUGGCUGAAAUUCCUCUUCCUACUUUUUCCCAAGACAGUGAGGGGAAGGAGAAAAGCAGAAAAGGAAACACAAUAAAAUGUCCCUGUGGUAUUUUUUUCUAUUACAUACCUGCCAAAACCUGUAAUGGUGUGUUAAGACAAAAGGCUGAGCCCUCGGUGUUGUCCAAGGGAAAAAGCACAGAAAACUCUAUUAAACCCUCUGUAUUGCAUUGACCUUUGGUUUGCUCCCAUCUUUUUCUGGUUUCUGUGAUGUGGCACACAAUAGCUGUGGGGAAGGGUGGGCACUGCAGAUCCUGCUCGAUUUCAGCUGAGAGGUUUGAGGCACACAGGUAGCACAUGGAGUGAAACCAUCAGGACAGAUGGAAAUCUCAUUUUUGUGCUGGUAUUCUCCAUAACACCUAAGUGUUGGCUUUGUCCUGCUCUUGGGCUGCUCCUUUGAGGAGCCAGUACACCCCUGACCUGAAUCUGCUGGUUCCUCAGCCCUUCUUCUGUGAAUUCUUCUUGAGGAAGAAGCUCAAAAGGAGUUUGGAAAGCAUGUUAAUCCUCAUCACUGUCUGGAUGAGGCACUGAAUUUCUGCUGAGACUUGGGCAUGGUGCCCUGUGGUGACAGGAGCUGUGCUUCUGCUCCUGGGGAGCUCUAUCAAACACCCCUCAGAGUAAAGCAGAAAGGAAAGGUAAGCUGGAAAAUGUACAUUCCUUUGCCUAGCAGGAGUUUUUGUUCAGGCUGUGGUCCUAGUUCACCGUGUUUCCCUGCAGAAGGGACCCUCACACUCCACAGUCACUCCUGUAGAUAAGAAUCCCUUCUCAUUUCUACCCAGUAAUUCUCACAACUAAAUAAGGCCUGUUCUUUAAUAGCUAAAAGUGUGGAGAGUGCCAAAGAUCAAUUCAAAGAAUAACUAUAAUGUAAUCUAGUGAGAAAUUGCAGAGACUAGAGAUGGACUCUCCUCUGAGCUGUGUAGCAAAGGGCAGUGAUGAGCUGUUUGCAGCAAGUGGAAUUGUGGCUAGAUAGGAAAAUUGUUCUUUCUGUGAGUGUGGUCAGGCAUUGCCAUGGGGACCCAGAGAGGCAGGGAAACCUCUGUCCUUGGAGACACUCAGAGCUGCACUGGGCACAGCCCUGAGCAACCUGACCUGAUAUUGAGCAGGGGUUGGAGUGGGGAUUGCUGCCAUCAUUCACUGCUUCUGGGAUUUACAGGAACAAACUCUCUUUUACAGUUAAGCUAUCAUUUUGUAGAUCUGUUUUUAUCAUGAAAGUGUGCUGCUUCAUGAACAGUGGUGUCUCUGAGCAUUCAUUAUUCAGAAAAAGUUUGUCUUCCAAUUACACAAGAUCAUAAGAAGAAAAGUGUCUGGUUUGUCAGAACUGCAGAGCUAAAAUAAGCUGCAGCAAGCACAUCUCCUUGGCAAGGAGCUGGUGUCUCUAAUUAGAAAAGCUCUGGAGAGUUAAUCUACUUCUGUAUGAGACCUAUUGCUUCCUCCUGCAGCACACGAUGGCUGGAGCUGAGCAGCUUUGAAAAAGGCCUGGAGGCUGGGCUUCAGAUAAUUAAUAUAUCUUACUUGAGAACUUACAUAUAUACAUAUAUAUAUAUAUAUAUAUAUGUAUGAGAAUUUCCCAAACAUGAGGUUUUGUGUGCUUCUGUCAGACAGCUGAACUUCAGCAGGGCUGAGAAUUGAUUGGGAAUUGAAGAUGUGAAUUCUUUUAGUUAAAAAGUAAAAGUGCUGAAAGUCCUAAUCUCUGGCAAGCAGCUGCUGCAGAAUGGAGUAAGUUACUGUGCCAUCUAGCUGUGUGAGAGCAGUGUCCUCAGCAGGCAGGAAGAAUUUUGGUUGCUUGGAAGUGCCCAAGACUGGACUGGAUUCUUGUUUGGGGUGGUCAUGCCUCACCCUCACAGAGGUGUGGGCAACAGGAGGGGAAGAGGCUGUGAUACUGAGAUGAAAGCAGCCUUUCCUGGGACAGUAACCUCAGCCACACUGCCAAAGAGAUAACCUUGAUAUUUCAGUGCCUAUCAAAGGUGUCUUCUGCUCUCAUGCUAAUGCUCUCCAGAGCAAGGGGGGCAACUAAUCAGCAUUGCAGCAAUCAGUCAGGUUUCCCUUGGCACAUGAUGAGUUUAAUUAUUUUGCAGUUCACACCAUGUUCUUGGUAGCUGUAGUGAUGUUUAUUCUGGGAAGCUUCUGGGACUGAGGUGGUACAAAAGUUUUCAUUUCAGACAAGAAUUUACCAAGUUCUUGGCCUGGGAUCCAAAUUUCCAGAGUUUCUCUGAAGUCCUGGUUGGCCUUAUUAGACUUUAUCAGUCCUAGUUCCUUUUCCUGAGACAUCUACCACAUGUGACAGUUUUGACGUGGAUACUGAUGUACCAGAAUUGACUGACGAAUCUCAUCAGACAAAAAUAGCUUGUGUGUAUCAGUGAUUGAACCAAACUGCUUGGUUUAAAAGCAAAAGCCUUAUCUGACUUGGCCAGCAUGCUGCACUUUGUCUCCUCCCCAGCAGAACUCCCAGCCCUCCCUGCAGCCCAGCAGCUCAUGGUCUGGAGGGACAGGAACUCAUGGCUAAGGCAGGAGGGGCUGGGGGCACUGGGGCUGCCCUGGCUGUCCUUGGGCUCCAGGAAAGCUCAGGGUCUGUGUGCCAUGUCCAACACAAGCUGUGCUACCUCCACUGUGUGGCUCCCUGGGGCUUGGAAACACCCACCUGGUACACUGCGCAGCUCUCUUUCAAAUCCUCCACAACCACCAAGCAGGUUAGCACUGCCUUGGACCUCACACUUACCAAGAAGCACUUAAUGAGUUAUUAGUCAAUGAAAACCUGGGCAGGACUCUCUCAGCCUUCAGGCAGCUGAGAGUUCACUCUGCAAUAGGUGCUCUUCUGACCAGGGGCACCCAGAUAGAGCCAAAGUUAAUUUAUCUCAUUUUAAUAACUGCAGUUACUUACCGAUAUCUUUCUCAUAAUGUCAUGUUCUCAUAUCUGAAUUGCCCCAAAUUUGCACCUUACCUGUGUCGAGUUCUGCAAAUAACCUAAGAAGUGAUGCUGUAGGAGUUUUGUUUUUACUGUCAAUCUCCUGUGCAGCACAAUACCUUUGAAAGCGGCAAGAAAUAUUUUCUUAUUGGUGGCAAACUCCCUGGGAAUGUGCAAUUGAUUAUUCAAACCUCAUGGUGCUGCUGCAGAGAUUUGUGUUGCUGUGACUGACUUUGAUUCCCUGAUAGCCUGUCUCAUGCUCCUGUCCCCUAAUGGAGCUGAUAGCAUUAAGUCAUGCAGUUAAUCAAGUGAAAGAAAUUGUUUCUCCUUAUUCAAAGACCUGAUAACUUUAUCCAACAGGGAGGGUCUCUAACAGGAUGAGACGAGGAGAAGCAGAUGAGAUAAGAAACAUCCACAAGACUUAAUAAGCAGUGGAGUAGGAGUGUUUUUAAAUGCCUCAAAUUUGGAAUAGAAAAGCAUUCUGAAUGAUCUAUGGAAAGCCAACUCUGGCUGGCACUUUAUUAUUGCAUUUUUUUGUAUUAAGGAGUCAAAGAUCAAGAAUAAAUUCAGUCCAGGUAAUGAGACACAGAAUUGUUAAUUGAGGUGCUGCUGAGGCAUGUGAGGACAGUGUGGAGCACAGCAGCUCCUUGGUGAGGCAGCUGGCAAAGAUGGGUGCAUGGUCCCAAAUUAUCAGUGUGUGAUGGGUUUUCUGCAUAGUAUUUCCAUCACUGAUAAUGAGGAAUUAAAACAUAAUUCACUAAUGCAUAAAAAGAAAGGUCUUCACAGGGCUGGGUACUCCCAGGCAAUGAUUAUCCUGAUGAAAUUAACUAUAAUACAGGAGGCUCAGGAGGAAGCUCCUUCCUUUUCAUGCUACCCAUUAUAACAAUGAUCUGUGCAAAACCAAUUUGACUAUUAGAUCAUUCCUACUAAAAUAACUCCAAACCAUUUACAGGCAUCCUUGUAGGACUUGCUGCAAGUAGGUGCUGAAGCACUUCCAGUGGUGUUGAGUUUAAUUUGUACCCUCCCUGUUCCCUUCCCACUUUGCCAGGUGGAGCUGUUGUCUCUGGUACGUGGAAUUCUGCAUUUCUGGGGAAUGGCAAGAAGCAGAAGGUGUCACUCUGCCUCUGAGGGGGCAGUGGCAGUGUGCUCUUGCUGCCAGGCUUUAAGAGAUGCUGGUUAAGAAGGGACACAUGGAUGCUGUGUGAAACUGCCAUUUGAGACAAGCCCCCCUCUGAGCUCUGCUGUGCUCUCAUGGAUUUAUAACAGCUCUGCUACACUGAAAUUGUUCCAAGGUUUUGCUGGUCAGGAUGCAGUCAAAAUCUCUCCCAAGGGGAGCAAAAGUGCUGCAGUUUUCCCCCUUUACCAGGUCAGUUUGAAGUUUGGCUGUCCUGCAAAAGUCUGUUGUUUUUAUUUUCAGAGUUACUGGCAAAUGAGAAAGGUAAGGAAUAAGGUAUUUUCACCAGGUGGUGGGGUUUUUUUGAGCAGUGAAUCCCCCAGGGAGGCAGAGAAACAGAAACUACACUCCUUUUAUGCAUGCUGCAUAAGGGAUAAAAAUGUACAAAUGUUUUCCAUUCCCAGGCUCAUCUUUUGCUUUAGACUUUGGUGAGCAAUAAUAUUAGUAGUAAAAGUUAAUGAAACGUUAGUGGCAAAAGUUAAUGAAGACUAUGUGGAAUAAGGCUAAACAUGGACUAAAACAUUGAUAAAUUAGAGUUUUAAGGGAAAUCAUAAAGCAAUUUUUCUGGCAACUGUUUAUGAAUCUUCCUCUUCAUUUAGACAAGAUCUUACUUGCAAUCAGUUGUAAAGGCAUUGUACAUCAGUCUAGAGUAACCAGCACAGCAAUUGUAAAAAAGACAUAAUUUUAGAGUUUGUCUACUUACUUUUAGGUGAUUAUAUAACUCCCUUGUGUCAAGAAAAGACAAGUUUUUACUUUUUGAAAACUAUAUAUCUUGCUGCUGGACUAAAGAGUGCAGAAAGUGCUUGUUUGCUGCUGAGUCACCAGUGAAAUCAUUAGAUUUGAGUAUCUGGAGCCUUGAACUGCAAGUUGUAGGUUGGAAGAACUGGAGAGCCAAGAGCCACAAACACUUCCCUCAGCACGGUGCCACAGUGCUGAGCUCCUGGUCCCCAGCUUUGUCACAUGUGUGCACAGCUGGGAAAGGUCUAUGAGAAAUCCCAAAACCUGGAGAAAGGAGUUCUCAGUCACAUCCCCAUCUUAGUCCUGCCUAGGAUGCUUUAGAGCAUCUCAGCAGGUUGAUGUUUAGUUGUCAAAUGCUCCUUAAGGGCAAAAAGAGAUGAGCCUGAAUUUGUCACAGUAUGUGACACUGACAGAGCUAGAGCUGCUCAGUGCUGUGGUGUUAUUUAGGAUGUUGUGCCAGCAUCCUGGAAUUUAUUGCCCACAUUUUGCCACAUGCUUGAAGGUGAGCUGGCACCACGUGAAAUGUCAGGUAAUCCCUUUAGCAUGUGUUUAAGCUAUUGUGGGAUUGAUCAUGCUGGGUCUGGGCUGAAAACCACACUGAGUUUACACUGCCCAGUGAAUCCAGCAAGAGUUCAGGUAUCUGCACCUUCAUGUGUCACAUCCUCCCCAAAGGGAGGCCAGGGACCUCAUCUGCUGUGCUUACCAACCCGCAUUUCACUCUCUGCUGCACUUAGUUUCUCACAGAUUUCUUUUGGUUUGCUCAAGAUAAGCCCACACUACAGAGAAUUGAUUUGGAACGCCAUAAAGUCAGGUGUUACCUGCAUCCAGUGAUGUUUCAUCUCUCUUGUCCACUGUAAUUACUACAGAAAGCAGGAUGUGAUAAUGGUCAAAGUCAGAAUUAAUGAAGGAAAAAACCCCAAACAUAAAAGGCCAUUGCAUAGUGCAGAAAGAUUUGAGCAGAAAUGUAACAAGUUCUCAUGAAAAAAUUCCCUGUGAGUUUGUAAAUACUGAUUUUCUUCCUUCUUGCAGUUUCUCACUCCAUGUCCACAGUGGCUUUCCAUUCCCUGGUGGUAAGCCAAGGCAGAGGAAAUCCAGCCAGCCACUGUCCCCAGCAUGGUCCCUCCCCAGAUCAUUCCUGCCAGGCAGACUGGGAAUCACCCUCAUGCUGGGAUUGUUGAGUUUUCCUGGUGGUUAGGGGCUUUUAUAGCCUUUCACUGCCAGUUCUGUUCAACUGCUAAAUGGUUCACUCCAGCUAAAGAGGCACCUGGGAGAAGUUUGGUGUUUACCCAAGGCACAGCUUGGUGUUCCAGCCCAACCUCUGGCAGCUCCUGUGGGGAAUAUUUACAGCUGCCAGCAGGAGGGUCCAGCUCAGAGCAAGCUCCUGCAGGGGGUUUGUCCAUUCUGUCAGCAUCAGAGGAGCUGGGAAGUGCAGAAUUGGAAUGUGAAAAAUGUCAAGUGUGAUACAAGAACCUUUUAUGUAAGAGAAUCACAGAAUCACAGAGUGAACUGGGUUGGAAAAGAGCUUUGAGAUCAUCGAGUCUGACCUAUGACCUAAGACCUCAUCAACUAAACCCUGGCACUGAGUGCCAUGUCCAGGUUCUUUUUAAACUGUUCUGUUUGGAAAUAAACUUUUGCUUUAAAACUUUUGACCUGUGAGUGAAACACUGGAAUUACAGAACUGACUGAAAAAAAUUCCAAAUUUAGAAAUAAAAGCUGUUUUCUGGGUUUAAACCCA